AACGAACGCUGGCGGCAUGCCUAACACAUGCAAGCCGAACGAGACCUUCGGGUCUAGUGGCGCACGGGUGCGUAACGCGUGGGAACCUGCCCUUAGGUUCGGAAUAACUCCCCGAAAGGGGUGCUAAUACCGGAUAAUGUUUUCGGACCAAAGAUUUAUCGCCUUUGGAUGGGCCCGCGUUGGAUUAGCUAGUUGGUAGGGUAAAAGCCUACCAAGGCGACGAUCCAUAGCUGGUCUGAGAGGAUGAUCAGCCACACUGGGACUGAGACACGGCCCAGACUCCUACGGGAGGAAGAAGUGGGGAAUAUUGGACAAUGGGCGAAAGACUGAUCCAGCAAUGCCGUGUGAGUGAUGAAGGCCUUAGGGUUGUAAGGCUCUUUUACCAGGGAUGAUAAUGACAGUACCGGGAGAAUAAGCUCCGGCUAACUCCGUG
rnacentral:rRNA from 1 species